UGUUGACUUUGAUGUUUUAAGUGGGUUUGUGAUAAACCUGGUUUUGCCUCCAGCAAUGCCACUACAAGAGCUAAAGCAAGGGUGAGGGGUGCUUUUCACACACCUGGGCAGGCUCUGGAGAUGCCGUGACCCUUUGGGCACUCCGAGCAUCACGUUUCCUUCCAAAGACUGAAGAUUUAACGAAAGAACCGCUUGUAGAAAUGCCUCCAGCUCAACCAGCUGAGGCAGCGCUGCUGGAAGUCAUGUGCAGUUAAAAACAAAGCAGUGGCCAGGGCCGGGUCAAUGUUUAACCCUGCUGGGGAGGGCACAGGAGUGCAGUUGGUGGUGGGAUCCAGCUCGGCAGGCAGCCCAGAGCUCUGCAUUAGAGCACUGCUUUCAAGAGGGGGAGCUUUUCCUUCUUCCCAAGCCUUACACAAUGGGCCUCAGCUCUUCCAAGGCGCACCCCAGGGUGACCCGGGUGGCACCGAUGCUCAGCGCUGAGGAGGUGCUGGGGGAGCCCGGCCUGCACCCAACAGCCACAAUGGAGCACGGACAUCCCAUAACCCACAGGCAGCUCCCACCCCUCCGCCAGACCGGGUACGGGAGAGCCUCCGCAGGUCCUCUGGAGUUCAACACCGUGCCGGAGAAUGGAGCCAGCAGCAUCAUCAAGCUGCACCCACCUCGGCGACCGCAGAGGCUUGAACCUGCUCGCACUCCGCAGGGGAUUACUGCUGCAAAGCCCUGGAGCCAGCAAGAGGCGGAUGGAGCCCCAAAAGCCACGACUCUGGAGAAGAGGGGGCAGAACCUGAGAGCCCUCCCUGGCAGGCGGCAGCACUUGCACAAGAUGCAGAUGCUGGACUUGACGCGCCGGCGCCGAGAGGCGGAGCUGAUGCGGGAUCUCCACAGGGAGGCAAAAAUCAAUAAACAAAAAAUCAAGGAACUGGGCUCGGAGAUGGUCCUUGAUGCUCUUCAGAGAAGCGACAGCGCCAGAAGCCGAGACCUCGUUCCCGCCGAGCACAAUCAGCAUUUUAAUGGAGACCCUGGAAACAGAGGGCAUGGAGGACUCGCAGGGCAGCACGCCGGGGCUGGGCUUCCCCCAGGCAGCAGCAGCAAGGUCGGGCUGUGGUUCUGCAGGGAGCCGAGCACCAGGGACCUGCUCUGGGACACUUCCAGCACUGACUCUGAGGACUGGGAGAGGGAAGAGAAAAAGCUUUACCGUAGACCUCCGCUGGUGAGAACCAGGACAGAGAGGGUUUCACUCUUCGAUGACUUCUUUGAUAAAGAGUUUUAGCAGCGUGGCUUGGGAUGUGCUGAAGGAACAAGCCAUGAUCUCUGCUCUGCUCUGGAUAAGACCCAUGGCACAGACAUGAUGUUUGCAAUGUGCAGCAUUUCUGAACGCAGAGACUAGCAGAGAGGAGCACUGGAGAUGAGGAGGCUGAUGUGCGGCCAGAAAGGACAAGUCUGGCCUCUCUAGUUGUACAGCCCACCACAGCAAGUCUGCGUGCUUUGGGGAGAAAGCUGCUCCUUGGAGCCACGUGCGAGUGCAUGGAAUAGCCAAGAAAACAAACCCCACCAUGGAAAAGUAAGAAAACUGCUUUUAAUGAGAAAGAAGACCCGCUAAUGAGUCUGUGUUUUAAAAGCAUCCCUGUCUGCUUUUCUCGUAAACACGGUCAUCGUGUGUGAGCUGGAAGGAUCCUGAGAGCCCUGAAUUCAGCACUGAGGGUAGGCCGGAAAGGUCAACGGUUUAAUGGGCUGGAACAAUUAAUCUGGCACUUUUCUAUACACCUGUCCUCUUAAUGAUUCGACGCAUCUCCCUUCUGUGUUCCCAUCUGUCAACAAUUAAGCUGUAAUUGGUGGAAAUGCAAUUUAUCUCGGAUAGAGCUGAUUCGUUUCCCGAUAAUCGCGUUGCCAGCACUUGGGAAGAGCGCUGCCCACGGAGAGGGUGUGCAGAACAGUCAAUCCACAGCACAGACUGCACGGAGACGCCGAGUGUUAAUUUGUCAACUCGCAGUGUGCAAAAUUUUCUCUUCUGGAGGCAAUAAAGCCAGGAAACCCGCUUUCUGCUUCUCGGGCUCAGAAUCGUUUGCCUGUACUGCUUUCAAUAGUGUUAACUCAUCAUGACCUGGAGAGAGGCAGAUGGCAACUCAUCCUGCUCUCACGUUUCCUAACGUCCUUCCAGGGGCUAGAAAUGAAAGCAUUUUCUCUAUUACUAAAGGGGAAACUUAGACCUCUCUGCAAAUUCCAGAAGAUUAAAAAAAAAACAAACCACCACAAUGCCGAGGCUGUUUUCCUCUGGAAAAACUCCCGAUUCCAAACGCUUGAUACCAUCUCAUCAUCUGAAGGAUGAAUCACUACAGCCAGCUAUGCAGAGGAUGAGAUUUGCUGCUCAGAACCGCGCUCACGUGGUGCUCAUGAAGUCACGCAUGACGGAAAGAAACUCCUGGCUCGAGGUUGCCUCUGCAGCAAGGAGAGGCUGGAGUGAUCCUGCUGGCUGCCAGGGAUGGAUAUGGGAUGAGUUUUGAAGGAUAACGAUGACAGCUCAUGAGCAGGGGUUGACUUUGGUGGUGCCAAGAGGCAAGGCUCCACAAUGUGGAAGUGAAGUGGGGUAGGUCUGUUCUCAUUCACUGGAGGGCAGUUGAACAAGAAAACAUUUAAAGGUCCCUUCCAGCAGUUCUAGGAGAUGUAGGUCAGAUAGAUCUCUGCCCCAAAGCACAAGGGCUUUGGAUUCUCCCUCUCAAAGGGCUGUAGGAUGGGUGUGGUGGUGUUGGUGAGAUGGUGUAGUGAAAAUGCUAAGUUGGGCCUCAACCAGUGAUGGAACACCUGGUGGGAAGGCAGGGCCAACCCAGGAGAGCUCAGGUGCAUGCAAUGCACCUGAGUGACUGGAAGGGGGGGAGCCGGGAGAUCCCUGCAUACCCAAGGCCUUCUGAAGGUAAGCACAUUCUUUCCUUUGUUUCUGUGUCCAUGGCUGUUGCAUUUGAGUAAGUCCUCGCUUGCUGAAAGGACUUGAAAUGCUGUCAUUGCUGUGCUUUCCAUCGCAUUACAGAUGGCCAGAGCAGGACAAGUUUCUCUUGCUCAGGAUUAACCAAACUGAUUUUGCUGCAAUGUUCGAACAAAACAACAGUGCUUGGCCACAGGCAGGCAGCUGAGCCAGGGACAGUCAACACCAAUGGUUAAUAUCUGGCUAAAUCAUUAGCAAUUAAAUGUGCCACUUGAAAGAGGAAAUCUUGAAGAACCUUUCCUCUGUAUUACACUUAUACUUAGCUAAGAGAAGCAGCGGGUAAGGAAAACUGAACAAAGCUCGGUGCUGUGCUGUAAUUGGCCCUCACCACACAGUCUGUGUUUAUGCCAGUUUCUCAUCUUCUCAUGUUCUGUCCCCCCAUGCUCAGAGCUUUAGAUGUCCUCAGGAACGUGGGUGUUCAGCAUCAAGCAGUAUCCUCCCAACACCUGCCCACAUUCAAAAGCAGAAAAAAAAAAAACCCACCAUCAAUGGCUCUAGAAUGUUUCUCCAACCUCAUUAAUCCCUUAUCUCCCUGCCUCCCUGGGAGGUGUGAGAGGCAGCUCGGAUUGUUUCAGUCUCCUUACCCAAAGUAAGCUCCAUUUCAAGCUGUACACAAAGAUUACAGUGUAAUCAUCAGCUUGGUUUGUCUAACCAGGUAACCUCAGAUGAUGCUGCAGUAGCACAGCCCCAAGCCUGUUGUUUCCCAGCUUUGGAAGUACUGAUUAAUCCCUCUGGGUUCCCAGCUUUUCUGAACAGGCUGAUGGUUGGACUAGAAGAUCAUAGCUGUCUUUUCCAACCUUAAUGAUUGUAAAAAUCCUCUAAAUUACUCGAGGAAGGUUGAGUGGUGGCACAGGGGGACCCUGAGGAACAAGGAGGGGUGGGUAUGGAAGGAUGGUGCCCUUUCUGGGAUGUCACAUGCUGCUGGUGGUGCUGGGCAGCUGGCCAGGAGGCACACAAUCGCUGAUGGGAUGGAGCUGCCCACAGCUCCCUCCUGUUCUGCAAGAGAACAAGCAUUUAUUCCUCGCCUAGCAAUAGGAUUGUAGCUUUUUGCCACCUACUGACAUGUUGUGGGAAUGGCUCAUCCUGCAACUCCCUGCACAAAGGCUGAUAGUGCAGCCAGCAUCUGCUGAACGGUCUGCAAGAAUAUAAGUGAGUGAGAUACCCCCCCUUGGCACACUGACAGGAGAGCAGCAUGCAUUUGAUCAGUUGUUCCUUGCUAUAUAGGAGCUGAAAAUCCCAGUGGGUCCCUUCCACCUCAGGACAGUGUGUGAUUCCAGAAUAAUUCCCUCCUUGUCCCAUGCCUUGAGCACCUCUUACUGCAUCCUUCCAGACAGCAGUGCCACGGGAGAAAUCUGGCAUUCCACCUGCAAAACAGCCUCUUGGCUUCUUUUCCUUUUACCUCUUCCCCAGUUCUUCUAUCUUUUUUUCCCCUUCCACCUCCUCCUAAAGCCCCUGCUGGCUUUAGCCCUUGCCCAAGGCACCUUCCAUCUUCUUACUGGUGAACAGAAGCUCUCUGCAGGAUCCUGAGCAUUGCUUAACCUUCACUUAAAUCCUCUUCUGAUGCUCUAAGCAAUGCACAGUGCUAAGAGUGCUAACUCAUCGCUCAAAGUCAAUUUCAAAACCUGUGAGAGAGCCAGGAGUACUUUUUGUUGUCUCUUUCUGGGGAUGCUGGAUGAUGUGUCAUUGCUGUGGGCACUUCUGUUGUGGCUCUUGUCCUCUGGUGCAGUUUGACAAAGCUCAGCUCAGCUGAGUCUUCUCUGUGCUUAUUGAGCACGGACACCCCUGGCCUCCCAGUGACUCUUAGUGGAAGUGUGAGCCCUCAGAAUUAAGAAAUACCUGUGGUGGUUCUGGGAAGCCCUACAUCUGACGAAUGCUUCAUCUGCUCAGAGCUUCUCUCAUUUUGGUUCAUUCAGCUUUCAUUCUUCUUCACUUCCAUCAGCACUAUGGUUUGCUAAUGUGCAUCCGAAGUCAGAGGGUAGACUAAAUCUGCCAUGUUGCUGAUCCAGCCUUGAAUUCCCUGCUCCUAUAAAGUCACCCCGAGACACAGAGUCUCCUGUGCUGAUAUUUAUUAGCUGGUAGUCCAACUAACGACCCUUUUAAUCAAAUCAGGCUUUGUGCAGCACAUGAUCUUGUUGAUAACAACCAAACACACUGCAUUAACUCAGAACUUUCUCAAAAGAAAGCUGGUUCACAACUGUUCUGGGAGAAAAGCAAAGCAGGGCACUGUUAGUUCUGUAGUCUCACUGAACUUCUGUGGCCAGCUACCAGCCUCUAUCUGGUCCUUGCUUGGUCCCUGUUGCAGCCACCGCCCCAGAAUAAUCAAUGUGGCUUGCAACUGAUUUCUGCACUGCAAAAACACUGAGUUUCAAAGCCAGGCGCCCCUUCUGUUUACCACACAAACCACCUCCUUCAGCUUGGCCAAGCUGACCUAAAAAUACAGCCUUUUGCCACACAGAGCCUCCCUUGUGAGGCAGAUUUUCCUUACAGUGCUCUUCUGUCUUUAAAACCCCCCCUUAGCACAGUUCCCCAUCCUUCAAUGCACGUGGACACUGGGGCUAAGUGACCAACACCUCACGUCACAGCCAUACUGAGGCCUUGUGUGUGCCCCAGAGCAGCUUUCCACUCCUUGUCCUUUUCCCUGGGGUUGCUCUAGGCUUGAAAUUCCAGGCAAACCUAAGUGCUUUGGGUUGAGGUUUCUCCUCCGGUUUUGUUAUUGAAAUCCCAAUUUUUAGGAACAGCGAGUUAUUGACACCACUUUGGUAAAGCUAAUUUGUAACAAGGACUUAGCUCAGCGUUACUGAAAGUAAUCAGCAGUGAUCUCGUCCACAUCUUUGUGAAGUUAGAGCAGAAAAAAAGGCAAAAAAAAAAACAACAAUGGGUCUCUUCGAUCUCUAAGAACCAUCUUACCAGAAGCACUGCCUUCAAACUUCAUUCCUUCCUUCCCCCCUUCCCUCCUCCUUGCAUGCUCCAAGACUGGAUGCUUCCUGCACUCAACCAUCCACAAGGUGCACUUCCAAGGGCUGACCAGGAAAGAUGACAUUUCUUUGAAAGACAACCAAAAGAUCCCGGAGAGAAACGUCAAGCAAAGAACCACCAACAAUGUUUUGUACGGAUCCUUUUUCUCACAGCACAGAAAGCACUGCCACCUUCCUGCUUCACCGAGAGGUUUUGCUUCAGUGAGCAGGCAAAUACACACGAAGCUCCUAACUUUGAAGACAAACAUCUCUGCUUCCAGAGUGCAGCCAGGAACCCAGCACCUGGAGAAGCAAGAACAUUACCCACACAAUCAAAUCUGUCAAAACUCAGGCUUUCCUUGUGGACAGAGAUCUUGGGCUAAAUGUGCUGGAAGAUCAAAGAGUGGACCUGGUCUGAAGGCACCACACUAGGCUGUGGGCACUUUUUGUUGUCCCCCCCCCAUCGAGGUGACAUUGGUUUCGGUUAUUUGUUUCUCUCAGGACUACACAGGUGUAGCACCUCUUGCUGCAGCAUCACAUUUUCUAACAGCUUAGCAGCUGAAGGUCCUUGCUCAUUUAUAGCCAAAGAACUUUUCCUAAGGUGGUUUUCCAGAGGCCCACAGGCUUCUGCUCAAGGUCCCUUCAAGUGGCCUCACAGAAUCAUUAAGGUUGGAAAGGCAACUAAGAUCCCCAAGACCAACCCCCUCCAUUGUGCCCACUGACCACAUCCCUCAGUGCCACAUCUCCAGGGCUCUUGAACACCUCCAGGGAUGGUGACUCCACCAGUCCCAAGGCAGCCUGUGCCAGUGCCUGAUUGCUCUUUCAGAGAAGAAAUGUUUCCUAAUAUCUAACGUGAACCUCCUCUGGUGCAACUUAAGGCCAUUACUUCACACAAAACUAAAUUUCAAAAGAACUUAUCGCUUAUUGUGUGGAAUUAGGAUCAGAUGUAAUUAAGUUUUACUAGAAGCAAACAAACGGGUUUUCAAAGAAAAAAGUAGAGCAUAUAAUUUCGGGUUUCCUUCAUAAAUGGUUUCAGUUGGUGGGAACGCUGACAGAUCACCCAGUCCAACCUUGGCUUUAAGGUUUGCAAAGCCCACACCUGACUUGGAGCACCUCCUGGGAUGGGGCACCCACAGGCCCCUGGGCUGCAGUGCCAGGGCCUCACUGCCUCAUAGCAAAGAAUUUCUUCUGUACAUCCAAUAUAAAUCCAUCCUCUUUCAGCUGAAAACCGUUGUCGCUUGCCCUGUCACUACAGGCCCUGGUAAAUAAUACUCUCUGUAACUUUCCUUUGUGCCCUGUUAGGUUCUGGCAAGCCUAACAGGAGAGGUGCUCCAGCCUCCUGAGCAUCUUUGUGGCCUCCUCCGGCCCUGCUCCAACAGCUCCACAACAGCCUUACACAGGGCUCCAGAGCUGGGUGCAGCCCCCCAGGUGGAGUCUUAGAGCCUAAUGCUUUUUACCAAGAAGGAUUUGUCAGCUGUGAUUAACUCCCUGCUCUUCAACACAGUAACAUCUAUCUGUCUGCUUAAGCCACCUGAGGGGACCGCAGCAGGCCGCGGCCUUCGGCACAGGCUGUGGUAGGCAUCAAAACCCAUGAAAUCCCUUCUUGUGGAGUCCCCAGUGCCUGAAAAUAAAGUAUUUCUGGAUCUUU